GAUGAACGCUGGCGGCGUGCCUAAUACAUGCAAGUCGAGCGAAUGGAUUAAGAGCUUGCUCUUAUGAAGUUAGCGGCGGACGGGUGAGUAACACGUGGGUAACCUGCCCAUAAGACUGGGAUUACUCCGGGAAACCGGGGCUAAUACCGGAUAACAUUUUGAACCGCAUGGUUCGAAAUUGAAAGGCGGCUUCGGCUGUCACUUAUGGAUGGACCCGCGUCGCAUUAGCGAGUUGGUGAGGUAACGGCUCACCAAGGCAACGAUGCGUAGCCGACCUGGGAGGGUGAUCGGCCACACUGGGACUGGGACACGGCCCAGACUCCUACGGGAGGCAGCAGUAGGGAAUCUUCCGCAAUGGACGAAAGUCUGACGGAGCAACGCCGCGUGAGUGAUGAAGGCUUUCGGGUCGUAAAACUCUGUUGUUAGGGAAGAACAAGUGCUAGUUGAAUAAGCUGACACCUUGACGGUACCUAACCAGAAAGCCACGGCUAACUACGUGCCAGCAGCCGCAGUAA
rnacentral:rRNA from 1 species